rnacentral:ncRNA from 1 species
UUUUAUGCGAUGACGGAGAAGUGUAUUUUGAACAUCAGUUCCAGAGAGUCGGUGGUCGCUGCGAACCGAUACUGAGCCUUAAUACAAAUCACUCCUGAGCAGUAUCUGCGAAAGUCUCCCAGUAGUGGAUACCGAUUAGCCUCGAUAACGGCUUAGGUUUAAAUGAACCGACAGAGAGGCAUUUCUUGUCGAAAGGCAGAAAUGCAAAGCAGGUGGUACCGCGGGUGAACAGCUCGUCCUUGCA